rnacentral:misc_RNA from 1 species
UACGUAGGGGGCGAGCGUUGUCCGGAUUUAUUGGGCGUAAAGAGCUCGUAGGCGGUUCGGUAAGUCAGAUGUGAAAACUCCAGGCUCAACUUGGAGAGGCCAUCUGAUACUGUCGUGACUAGAGUCCGGUAGGGGAGCACGGAAUUCCUGGUGUAGCGGUGAAAUGCGCAGAUAUCAGGAGGAACACCAGCGGCGAAGGCGGUGCUCUGGGCCGGAACUGACGCUGAGGAGCGAAAGCGUGGGGAGCGAACAGG